GGGGGUAUAGCUCAGUUGGUUAGAGCGCUGGCCUGUCAAGCCAGAGGCCGCGGGUUCGAGUCCCGUUACUCCCGCCA
rnacentral:tRNA from 1 species